UUUCCGUAGGUGAACCUGCGGAAGGAUCAUUACUGAGUUUUGAAUUAAGUUGUUCUGGUCUUUCGGGGCAAGUGAACGCUUCUCUCAAUCCAUCUUACCCCUGUGCACCUAUCGGGGAAGACUUGGAUCUAAGUUGGGUCACGACGGCUAUCUACAGUCUCCUCUUGAUACCAAAUAACAGUUUUAGAAAGGCUUUUUUGCUGGAUGCAAACUUAAAUAAAUACAACUUUCAGCAACGGAUCUCUUGGCUCUC
rnacentral:misc_RNA from 1 species